rnacentral:ribozyme from 12 species
UUUUUUCUUGUAAUUCUCCACCUUUCAGCAGUAUAUUAUUUAAAAAUAAAAAGUAAUAAAAUACGUGACGUCUCUAUGUAAGAUGGGAGCCUGAAUGUGCGCGUUUUCUCCUUCCAAAAUCCGCAGAGAGAAAUAUGAAACAACCCAUACAUAUCAG